CAUGUUUGAGGACUGGCAUGCGAUUAGGAUGCUAUUUCAAAUCCACUACAAAGUGUUCUUCAGUGAGAAAUCUGCAAAGGACCAUGGGACUCUGUGCGCCAACAUGACAAAGUUGAGUUUUCUAAUGGAAUGGAAUGGAGUGGGUCAUGAUGGAAAGCCCACUCCUGAGAAGUUGUUCUUAUUCGUUAAGCUGGGGUGGGUCAUGAUGAAAGCCCAUCCCUGGAAUGUGGUUCGUAUUUUCACAGACUUUCUCAGAAUGUGAUAUUUGUGUUGUUUGAAAUAUGAAAGGUGGUGUGAGAGAUUACUAACACAUUUUUACAUUUGUAUGUGAGUGUAUGAGAGUGUGCUUGUGAUUAAAUCCUCACACACCUAUUCAAAGAACGCUUCUGACCGCUGGGUCGAUUGCCUGGUCUCUUGACUCAGAGGUUUAAGUAUUCUCUGUUGGUGUAUAGUGGU